AGCAAUAUUCGCAAUAUUCAUUUGUAAUAAUAUGUACAGUUAACAACUUACUAAGUUUCAGUUGUGUGUGUGUGUGUUUUCAUGCAUUUUUAGUUUAAAAUUUGAGAGACACCAGAGAGAAAGAUUUUUAGUAAAAAUUCUAGUUACAUAAAUUCUUCAAAAUUUAUUAACUACAGAUACAUUUUUUAUGUGCAUAAGCUUUAAAAAAGUACGACAUUUCCAGAGUGCUAUACAUAUCAAAGAUUUAUACAUUUUUGCAAACUACAUGGAAGUUUUUAACGGAAAAAAGAAUAUUCAAAAGAAAAAAAGGUGAAAAAUAAAGUUUAUAAUUCUUUAGGAAUUUUUAGGCAAUGCAAGUCAUGGGUCCCCUUUUUCCUUCCCUAACUUUCAGAAAUGGAAAAUUUUUAUAAUUUUUGUUUAAUCUCUGAGUAAUUUGACGUAGCAAAUUUUGACAUGCUGAAAUAAAAAAUAUUUUAAAUUGUGAGCCACUUUCUGAAGAGAUAAUUUCAAUAUCUUGCGCAUAAAAUAAUCAAAAUGUAAAUUCUGAAGUAAUUGUAGACCAAAUUGUUAAAAAAAACAUUUUUAAUUAAAUUUAUUCUAUAUUUAAUUAUUAAGUAAUAUAUUUAAAAAACAAUAUUACGUUUGCAAAAAGAGAUUGAUUGACAAUAUUGUUGGAAUAGCAUUCCAAACUUUAAAUGAUACUUGAUUUUAAUUUGAAUAAGCUAGAGUGCAUGUCCCUUGUAAUUUAAACUAAAGCACUAAAUUAAAUUACUUUGAAAAUAACGCAGAAGAGAUACAGAGGCCUCUAGGUAACUGUCUACUUAUUUAAUAAUACGACCUUGCAUACAGUUGCUUUAGAACAAAUAAAGACGUAGCAUGAAAUUUACUAUUAAGAUGUUUCAUGGAAUCAAAAUAUGCUGAAAAAUAGACGCUCUUUUACAAAUAAAAAUUUAUAUUCUAUUUUGUUUCAUAAUAAUUUUUAAUUCUAAAAUGCUUCUUAUAAAUUAGUUCAAACAGAUGGAGCAAAUUGUUAUUCUACUGGCUGAUUUGAAAGGGUUCCAGCAAACAUUAAGGAUUACGUUACAUAUGUAAAAUCAAAUAAUUUUUAUUCAGAUACGUAAUUAAUGACCAUGGGCCCAAAGAGGAGUACAGAUGCCUUGGCGACAGUUUUAGUGAGGGCCUUAGAAACUAAACACCCGUGCCUUUAUGCAAAAUCGUAUGCGGAAAGAGCAAAUAAUAUAUAUUUAAUGCUCACUACCUGCUUAGUUUGUGUAUGCCUGAGGUAGUCGGGGAGAAAAUCAAAUUCUUUUAUACAUGCUUCACUUAUAAAUGGUUGAAAAUUGUUUACAAAAAUAGAUAUGUUACAGUGAAAACCUGAAAUCAGUCAAAACGCGUUUUAACUGACAGCGCUAGUGAAAACCCGAAUUAACUAGUUAAAACGCGUUUCAAAUGACAGCGCUAAGGAGAACCCAUUUUCUCUAGUUAUUGCAGGUGUUGUCUAUUUAAAACCAUAUGAAUCUAGAUUUCUUGCUUGUGAUAUUUUCAAAGUAAGUGCUGUCUAGUUUUAUUCAUGCUGGAACGUGUUUGCGCUGUUUAUUUAUUUACGAUUUGUGAAGGAAAUGUUAAUGCUUUAUGCGCCAAAUGGAAAAAUUAAAUUUCUUGAACAGUUACAGUUUUUGCAUUAAAAAAACCCAACCAGAAUAACUUUAAAGCUAUUACGCAUGAUGAAUUCAACAUUCUCUUAUCUGAGGUUGAAGAGGCAAAAUCUGCCGUUAGCAAGAUUUCAUUCCAGUACCCCAGAUUAAAAAAUUUUGACAUUCAUGAAACCAGUGAAGUAAAAAAGUUGAUUUUUUCAAAUGAGCUCAUGAGAUAUUAUUUACCAGUUAAAGGAAUUUGUGAUGCUAUCGAAUUUGCACAUGUGGCCAAAGGACAUGGGGAUAGAAACAGACUUAAAAGUGAAGAUUCAAGAACAUUUGCCAACAUAACUACUGAGAAUACACAUUUUUUUUUAUCGAUGUAUGAAACAAGUCAAUAGAAAAAAUAAAUUUUUUUAAAAAAGGAAAGGUUUGGUUUCUAAACCUAUUAUUCACUCAGAAAUAACUACACGCUGCCAAGUGGAUUUGAUUGACAUGCAAUCUCAGGCAGAUAAGGAAUUUAGGCUUAUUAUGGUUUACAGGAAUAUUUAACAAAGUUUUUUUACUGCAACCACUUCAGAACAAAGGAACGGAAGAGGUUCCUUUGCAAGUACUUGAUAUCUUUUUGAUAUUAUGGUUUACAGGAAUAUUUAACAAAGUUUGUGUACUGCGACCACUUCAGAGCAAAGGAACGGAAGAGGUUGCUUUGCUAGUACUUGAUAUCUUUUUGAUAUUAGGGGCUCCUUGUAUACAGUAAUCUGAUAAUGGAAUAGAGUUUGUAAAUUCCGUUAUAGAAUAGUUAUGUACGUAAUGGCCAGAAUUGAAGAUUGUUUAUGGGAAACCUCGGCACAGCCAGUCGCAGGAUUCAGUUGAGAGGGCCAAUCAAGGCGUAGAAAAUAUGCUAGCUUCAUGGAUGAGGGAUGAUCCGACUACAAAGUGGUCUAAUGGUCUUCACUUUGUCCAAUUCACGAAAAACAGAGCUCUACAUAAUAGAAUUAAACAAUCGCCAUACAAAUCUAUGUUUGGUAUUGAACCAAGAGCUGGAGCUACCUCAACCUUCUAAUCAGAUAUUAUAAAAAAUAUCGAAUACAAGGAUGAACUACAGAAAAUUUUCGAGGAUAUGAAUGUAGAAAAACAAGAAACUGAAUAAGCACAAUAAGGGGAGCAUAUGCUUGCUAGUAAAUCGACCAAUAUUUUUCUAAUUAGAGAGAAAGCCAAAGAAACUUUAAUAAAGCAAGCCAAACGAAUGAAAAAGAUCUUCGAUGCAACACAUCCUGAGUUUGAUAUUGGAGGUAAUUCAGUUGUUCCCAUUCCAUAUGUUGAUAGAAUAAAAACUGAUUUGCGAAAUAUCAUCGGUGUAGUGCUUGAAAAAAAAUUAAGAUGGUCUUCAAAAUUGGAAUGAAAGAUGGAGUUCUGAGCAAAUUGUAUUCGAGAUCUCAAUUCGAUGUAUCGCCGCAAAUUUUCUUAACUCAAGAACGAGUACUGAAUCAGGACAUUUCACUGAGAAUAUCAGCAAGAAAGGAACUGUAGGAAUUGGACAAGGGUUCGCCCGCUGUUCUUGUAAAAAAGACUAUUCUUCGAAGGAACGUUUCUGUAUGAAAAAUGGUUCUCUUUGCAAUUCUAAGUGUCACAAUAGUUUGCCAUGUCGAAAUAAGUCAUUUAUAAUAAUGGAACUGUAUUAAAUAAUAUCUAAGUAAAGUAUUUUUUCUUCAA